GAUGAACGCUGGCGGCGUGCCUAAUACAUGCCAGUCGAGCGAACGGACGAGAAGCUUGCUUCUCUGAUGUUAGCGGCGGACGGGUGAGUAACGCGUGGAUAACCUACCUAUAAGACUGGGAUAACUUCGGGAAACCGUAGCUAAUACCGGAUAAUAUUUUGAACCGCAUGGUUCAAAAGUGAAAGACGGUCUUGCUGUCACUUAUAGAUGGAUCCGCGCUGCAUUAGCUAGUUGGUAAGGUAACGGCUUACCAAGGCAACGAUGCAUAGCCGACCUGAGAGGGUGAUCGGCCACACUGGAACUGAGACACGGUCCAGACUCCUACGGGAGGCAGCAGUAGGGAAUCUUCCGCAAUGGGCGAAAGCCUGACGGAGCAACGCCGCGUGAGUGAUGAAGGUCUUCGGAUCGUAAAACUCUGUUAUUAGGGAAGAACAUAUGUGUAAGUAACUGUGCACAUCUUGACGGUACCUAAUCAGAAAGCCACGGCUAACUACGUG
rnacentral:rRNA from 1 species